GAUGAACGCUAGCGAUAGGCCUAACACAUGCAAGUCGAGGGGCAUCACAUGAAGUAGCAAUACGGAUGGUGGCGACCGGCGCACGGGUGAGUAACACGUAUGCAACCUGCCUUCAACAAGGGGAUAACCCGUUGAAAGACGGACUAAUACCCUAUAACACAGGGGUCCCGCAUGGGAAUAUUUGUUAAAGGACAACCGGUUGAAGAUGGGCAUGCGUUCCAUUAGCUAGUUGGCGGGGUAACGGCCCACCAAGGCAACGAUGGAUAGGGGAACUGAGAGGUUUAUCCCCCACACUGGUACUGAGACACGGACCAGACUCCUACGGGAGGCAGCAGUGAGGAAUAUUGUCAAUGGACGCAAGUCUGAACCAGCCAC
rnacentral:rRNA from 1 species